UACGGAAGGGGCAAGCGUUGUUCGGAAUCAUUGGGCGUAAAGGGCGCGUAGGUGGUUCUGUAUGUCUACCGUGAAAGCGUACGGCUCAACCGUAUUUUGUCGGUAGAAACUGCAGGACUUGAGGCUGGGAGGGGCUGGUGGAAUUCCCUGUGUAGCGGUGAAAUGCGUAGAGAUCGGGAGGAAUACCAGUGGCGAAGGCGGCCUUCUGGACUGACACUGACGCUGAGGCGCGAAAGCCAGGGGAGCAAACGGG
rnacentral:rRNA from 1 species